UACGUAGGGUGCAAGCGUUGUCCGGAAUUAUUGGGCGUAAAGAGCUCGUAGGCGGCUUGUCGCGUCGGCUGUGAAAACCUGGGGCUCAACCCCGGGCCUGCAGCCGAUACGGGCAAGCUAGAAUUCGGUAGGGGAGACUGGAAUUCCAGGUGUAGCGGUGAAAUGCGUAGAUAUCUGGAGGAACACCGGUGGCGAAGGCGGCAUCCUGGACCGGUAUUGACGCUGAUGCGCGAAAGCCAGGGGAGCAAACGGG
rnacentral:rRNA from 1 species